AGUGAACGCUGGCGGUAGGCCUAACACAUGCAAGUCGAACGGCAGCACAGUAAGAGCUUGCUCUUACGGGUGGCGAGUGGCGGACGGGUGAGGAAUACAUCGGAAUCUACUUUUUCGUGGGGGAUAACGUAGGGAAACUUACGCUAAUACCGCAUACGACCUACGGGUGAAAGCAGGGGAUCUUCGGACCUUUCGCGUCUGAAUGAGCCGAUGUCGGAUUAGCUAGUUGGCGGGGUAAAGGCCCACCAAGGCGACGAUCCGUAGCUGGUCUGAGAGGAUGAUCAGCCACACUGGAACUGAGACACGGUCCAGACUCCUACGGGAGGCAGCAGUGGGGAAUAUUGGACAAUGGGCGCAAGCCUGAUCCAGCCAUACCGCGUGGGUGAAGAAGGCCUUCGGGUUGUAAAGCCCUUUUGUUGGGAAAGAAAAGCAGCAGGUUAAUACCCCGCUGUUCUGACGGUACCCAAAGAAUAAGCACCGGCUAACUUCGUG
rnacentral:rRNA from 1 species